UGGUGGAGUGAUUUGUCUGGUUAAUUCCGAUAACGAACGAGACCUUAACCUGCUAAAUAGAAUCACUUAUCUUCGAUAAUGUGCAUUCCUCUUAGAGGGACUAUGUGUGUUAAACACAUGGAAGUUUGAGGCAAUAACA
rnacentral:rRNA from 1 species